UCCCUGCGUUGGGGGGGGGGGGGGCUGCUGGCGACGGGGGAGAAAGGCAAUCUCGCAGCCAAUGAGCCCUGCUAGACUGGGGUGAAGAGGAGAGCAGAGGGAUUUGGGGAAGGAAAGAAUAAAAAAAAGAGACGAAAGGAGGGGGACCAUCCUCCCCACCACCUCCGCCAGCAUCGCCACCGCCGUUGACACCGCUCCGAGUCUCCAGUUGCGCCCAUGCCUGUGCCGCCAGUUUCGGUUUAGGGGCUGAACCGCAGGGGCUGAAGAAAAUGGGGCAGAGCGCGCCCCGGACCCUCCUGCUGCUGCUGGCGGGGCUGCUGGGGGAGGCUCUGGCGGGGUUCCCCAACACCAUCAGUAUAGGUGGACUUUUUAUGAGGAACACUGUUCAGGAGCACAGUGCAUUUCGAUUUGCUGUGCAGCUAUACAACACAAACCAAAAUACCACAGAAAAGCCCUUCCAUUUGAACUAUCACGUAGAUCACUUGGACUCUUCCAACAGUUUUUCAGUGACAAAUGCUUUCUGUUCACAGUUUUCCAGAGGAGUUUAUGCCAUCUUUGGAUUCUAUGACCAGAUGUCCAUGAACACCCUGACGUCGUUCUGCGGCGCCCUCCACACGUCCUUCAUCACCCCGAGCUUCCCGACAGAUGCAGAUGUGCAGUUCGUCAUCCAGAUGCGGCCAGCCUUGAAAGGAGCCAUCCUGAGUCUCUUGACUUACUAUAAGUGGGAAAAGUUUGUGUACCUCUAUGACACAGAACGGGGAUUUUCCAUUCUUCAGGCAAUUAUGGAAGCAGCAGUACAGAACAACUGGCAAGUGACAGCCAGAUCUGUAGGAAGCAUAAAAGAUGUUCAAGAGUUCAGAAGAAUUAUAGAGGAGAUGGACAGACGGCAAGAAAAAAGAUACUUAAUUGACUGUGAAGUAGACAGAAUCAACACCAUUUUGGAACAGGUUGUAAUCCUCGGCAAACAUUCUAGAGGCUAUCACUACAUGUUAGCUAACCUGGGUUUCACAGACAUUGUUCUGGAGAGAGUAAUGCAUGGAGGUGCCAACAUUACUGGAUUCCAGAUUGUUAAUAAUGAAAAUCCAAUGGUUCAACAGUUUCUGCAGCGCUGGAUGAGGCUUGAUGAAAGGGAAUUCCCUGAAGCCAAAAACUCACCAUUAAAGUACACAUCUGCACUGACCCACGACGCCGUCCUGGUGAUAGCAGAGGCUUUCCGGUACCUCCGCAGGCAGCGUGUGGAUGUCUCCAGGAGAGGCAGUGCUGGAGACUGCCUGGCCAACCCUGCAGUGCCAUGGAGCCAAGGAAUUGAUAUAGAAAGAGCACUGAAAAUGGUGCAAGUUCAAGGAAUGACAGGGAACAUCCAGUUUGACACCUAUGGGAGGAGAACAAAUUACACAAUUGAUGUGUAUGAAAUGAAAGCUUCUGGGUCACGGAAGGCUGGUUAUUGGAAUGAAUAUGAAAGAUAUGUGCCAGCAUUAGAUCAGCUGCCCUCUAAUGACACUUCAUCUGUGGAGAACAGAACUAUAGUAGUCACUACCAUCUUGGAAUCACCAUAUGUAAUGUAUAAGAAAAACCAUGAACAACUAGAAGGGAAUGAGAGAUAUGAAGGAUAUUGUGUAGACUUAGCUUCUGAAAUAGCAAAACAUGUUGGAAUAAAAUACAAACUGUCAAUUGUUGGAGAUGGGAAAUAUGGAGCUAGGGACCCUGAGACUAAGAUAUGGAAUGGCAUGGUGGGUGAACUGGUCUAUGGGAGAGCAGAUAUAGCUGUUGCCCCCCUCACCAUAACAUUGGUGCGAGAAGAAGUCAUAGACUUUUCCAAACCCUUUAUGAGCCUGGGCAUCUCCAUCAUGAUCAAGAAGCCUCAGAAAUCUAAACCGGGCGUGUUCUCUUUCCUGGAUCCUUUGGCUUAUGAAAUUUGGAUGUGUAUAGUCUUUGCUUACAUUGGCGUCAGCGUAGUUCUUUUCCUAGUCAGCAGAUUCAGCCCCUAUGAGUGGCACUUGGAAGACAACACUGAAGAACCACGUGACCCUCAGAAUCCUCCUGACCCUCCAAAUGAGUUUGGAAUAUUUAACAGCCUUUGGUUUUCCCUGGGUGCCUUUAUGCAGCAAGGAUGCGAUAUUUCUCCAAGAUCUCUCUCAGGGCGAAUUGUUGGAGGAGUCUGGUGGUUCUUCACUCUCAUCAUUAUCUCUUCCUACACUGCUAAUCUCGCUGCCUUCCUUACGGUGGAAAGGAUGGUUUCACCCAUAGAGAGUGCAGAGGACCUGGCUAAACAAACUGAAAUAGCCUAUGGCACUUUGGAUUCAGGCUCAACCAAAGAAUUCUUUAGAAGGUCAAAAAUAGCUGUCUAUGAGAAAAUGUGGUCAUACAUGAAGUCGGCCGAGCCCUCGGUGUUCACCAAGACGACGGCGGACGGGGUGGCCAGGGUGAGGAAGUCCAAGGGCAAGUUUGCCUUCCUGCUGGAGUCCACGAUGAACGAGUACAUCGAGCAGCGCAAGCCCUGCGACACCAUGAAAGUUGGAGGCAACCUGGAUUCCAAGGGCUAUGGUGUAGCAACCCCCAAAGGCUCAGCAUUAAGAAAUGCUGUUAACCUGGCAGUAUUAAAACUGAAUGAGCAAGGCCUCUUGGACAAAUUGAAAAACAAAUGGUGGUACGACAAAGGAGAGUGCGGCAGCGGGGGAGGUGACUCCAAGGUCAGCCUCAAUGUCACCACAAUCGGGUACCUUAGCAAAGAGUAAUCGGCAAGGCUGUUAUUUUGCUUCUCGAGAAAAAAAACUCAAAAAGAAAGCAGAUGAAAAUUAUUUCACUAAUUGUGGUGGGGAAAAAACCUCUGUUUUCUUGUUCAGUAGCUCUUUCAAAGAAACAGUCUUAUUUAAUAUCAGCGGGUUUGUUUGAGCUUGGAAACCUUAUUUAACUAACAGAUAGAAAGUCUAGUGUUGGUGGGACCUACACAGAGUAAAUCAGUGAGGUAACUGUACAAGAAGCCAAUUAUCACCUCUGGUCACUGUCCCAACCUGUGAGAGCAACGCUUUAUGAGACUUUUUUUGCCAGGACCAGCUGUGCCAGAAGAGACCUGGGGGUGAAAGAGCACCUAUUUCCUUUGGCCUUUUGGGAAGGUUUUGGAAAUGUUGCCUGGAGUAUUCAAAUGCCACCUUUUGUACACCACUGAUCAGUCUUCUGCACGCUCCUGUGCAGGAGCCCUGUGUCUAUGUUUGGCAUGCCUUUGAUACAGAUGUGGACUCAAAUCUGGCUCCAGUGGCAGCCAUGGCAGCCUUCUGGUGAGCUGAGGCUUCCCCCAACCUUCCAGGCAGCCUGUACUGCACCCUCACAAAGUUGCUUCAGUGAGCUCAUGUAUUGCAAAUGUUAAGUAGUGUGCUUUCCUCUUGCCAACUUUGCCCGUAGGACUGGCAGUCCUUUCCUGCAGUCUUCAACCCAGCAAGGAUAAGCUUUAUCUGGUGUUGGCUGGGUGUUGUUGGUCACUGUGGUGUAGAAAUUACCACGAAAAUUAAUUUAAAUUACAUUGUUAUACUGAAAAGUACUGAAAUUCAUUUUUACAGUGACACUCUCCUACAUCUAGUAAAACCAGAUCUUUAGGGAGCAGUAACUCUUAAUCUCUCUAAUAAAAAUGCUUCAGAUUUGGUCCAAAAUCAAUAAUAACAGUAAACUGCAGUUUUGGACAAUUACUGCAAAUUACUGCUACAAUCUAUUCAUAAGAGUUGCAUACAGUUGGCUAUAUAGGAAAUUGCUCAGCUCGUCAUGUCUACUGCUAGCAAAAGCCACUGUGUAAUAUUAGAGGAAGGAAAAGCUCUUGAAUUUGGAUUGAUUCAGUAGCUGGAGGUCUGCAGUGCUCAGCAGCAGCCUGGAGAUGAGCAGAAGCUUUUUUAUGCUUUUUAGCUCUGCUGCUCAUCCUUCACAGAACAUUUUAUAUGUUGCAUUUGCCAGUAUAUUAAAUGUUUAAUAUCCUCCUGGGAUCCAGCACCUCAUUGUCUAAUGCUGACUCCCUGAAAAAAAAAAACCUCAUACAAACCAGCUUCAAUGAACUUCAUAGCUUCAAGUUCAUUUAAUUAAACCCAGCCAAUAACACUUACAGCCCUAAGGAAACUAAAGAGGGCUUUUUAAAUGGUCACAGUUAGGGCAGGGCCAUCCUUCUAUUUUUGCUUGUGCUGGAUGAUGUUUUACAAAGAACAGUGCUGUCUGUUUUUCAGGCCCUUGGCCUGGUCAGACAGCAUGGUCACCCAGUGGAUGCUGGGGUGCUGUGCUAACAUGAGUUAGUACCCAGAGAAGAGGGAAGGGGAGCAAACACAAUAAUGUGUGUUUUGCUGGUGUAGUCCCAAGUGAUGUCUGUGUGCAGUUUGUUGUAACACGCUUGUGAAGGACUUGUUUGAGCUAUAGUCAUCAGCUCUUGGGGCACAGCUCAGCUGGAAAAAUCCCCAGAGAGGAGAUCAUGGGAUGUAGAAGACCUCCCACAGAAGACUAAGCUAAGGGAGAUGGGGAAGGGGUUAGUGACUGUUUCUAGAGGCGUGGUAAAUCAAAGGGCUUUUUUUGUUACCUUUUCCUUUGAGGUAGUUCUGUAGGCCCUGAGCCCUGCAGACUGCAGUGUGGCUCUGUUGCAGCAGACAGGCAGAGCCUUCCCAGCACACCCCCAUCACUGGCCAGGCCCUGCCCCAGCCCAGCAGGAGCCCCACUGCCCUCUCAGGAAAGAUGUGUUCUGGUGCUGCCCCUUGUGCAUGGCAGCUCCAAGAGUCUUGCUGGCCUCUCUCUCCUCACUGUCCUCCCACCAAAUGUUGCCCCCAUCAUCUCAUCCCAUCUCUCCAAUUGUUUAUAUGGCCACGGCUACAUUUGUAGGUCAUUCAGAGGAGUCGCUGCAAAACUGUUAUUUUUUUCCCUUUUACCUUAAAGGAGGUGGCAGCUGGGGGAAUCAGGAUGGGAUGGUGAAGGUGUCUGGGGUGGAGAUACAGACCUUGCCCUCUGAUCUCAGCCAUUGCUCACUCAGGGCAGCUCUCUCUACUGGCUGAGCUGACAGACUCCUCUCUCAGCUUCCCCAGUAGAGACCCGGGCUUGGGAAAUCGCUGCCCCGAGUUGGCAAUCAGCCACCUCCUGCCUCCUGGCAGUGGGUUGUGUAAUGGGUUGUAUGUGAGUCAUGGCAGACUGGUGGUGUCGGUUUCUUAAGCUGAGUUCCUCUGUGACUGAUACUUUAGCUCUUGCUGAAAGCCAGAGGUGAGUAUGAGCCUGUUUGCUUGUGCCAGUGCCCAUCGUUGUACUGCAAAGGACCCGGCCGCCCUCCCCUGCUCGUCCUCGCUGCGGUCUCGCAUGCGGUGUGCCUGUGCUCGGAGAGGAAUCGUUCUGAGCUGGGAGUUCUUCUCUGGUUACCGUAUCUCACCGCCUCUGGAAAAUUAAACAGUGACUUCUAUUUUCACAAGGAUUUUGAGUCUUGCAGCGGGAAAAAGAAAAGGUAUUCAAUUGGCUUUCUGCAGGCUUUGAAUCUUUUGGUUUAUACAGAGUGUAAGGUGAGGCCUGUGGGCAUUCCGUGCUCCUGGGGUUCACUCAUAAUUCAAGACUAAAGAGAUUGUGCCAUUUUAAUGAGUUUGUUUUAAAGGCCUCAGCUGACAUGUGUCUUGUUUUCAGUGCUACCAGUCUGUGCCAGUGCUGGUGUGGAGCAGAGGGUGCAAGUGUUGGUACUGCCCUGGCAAAGGGAAUGACCCAAUUUCGGUAGUGGUCUUUAUUUAACAAGUCUGAAGAGGAAUAUGCUCCAUCCAUACAUAAUUUCUCUGGGAUGCAUGUCAGUACAUGUGGGCUGACUUGGCUGAUGCAGACGUUCUGGUACGUGCAUCAAAACUCAUUCACUUAGCUCUCCUAAAUGAGCUUGAAUUUAGUUUCAUGGCAAAAUUGUCUUCUCUUCAAAUGCUCUUAUACAUGCAAGCUGAGUUCUCAAUCAUGAGAGAAUACAAAAUAGCAGUUGUAAAAAAAACAUAUUUCAGGAAAUAUAUUGCAAGUUUGGAAUCUAAUUAUUUUGUUUAUUAUACAGUCCUGUAAUCUCGGAGCUGAGUUAUGGCUGAAUAGGGAUUUAACAAGAAUUAGACAAAAGGGGAUGCAGAUGGCGGUCACAGCCUGAGUGACUUAAGUGAAACUAAUUAUUCAGUUGCAAAGGAACAAUUUCCUGCUAAGAUAAAUUUCCAUAGUUCUGCUGUUGAUAAAUUUCAUGUAUUCUUAUACCUUCAUGGUAACAUUUAAUGGCAACCAGCAUGGAAGGAGAAUGUUUGAAUGCAGCUUCUCAUCAACUUUACCUGCCAAGACUCCCUGCUAAUUAUUUGACUUAAUUUCUUUAAUAUAUUCUUUUUUAGGCUGAUACCUCUUUUGGACUACAUCAGAGAAAUGACAUGCAAUGUAAAUUAUUUCAUUUUCCAAUUGUUUCUUUUUAAUCAUAGAAUUACUUUUCCAGUGUGCUAGUUGAGUUCUGCCCUCAGAGCUGUGCUCCAUACAAUAUCCCAUUCCCAACACCUUCGGAGCUGUGAGUGUGGCCAUUAGCAGAUGGGAUCUGUUCCCCCGUGUCUGUGUGCUGUUUUGGUUUGAUACAUUUUCAGCACAGCCGUUAGCAUUUGCGGCAUAAUUUUUUUAAGUGGCAUAUUUUUAGAAGAAAUCUGUUAUGCUUUAUUUUAGAUGAUACCUAAAGAGCACCAUUGCCAAACACGUCGUGCAUAAAAAAGAACAUUUGGGCAAAUGGCUAUCUUCAAAAGAUGCAGCACGAUUUAUUUGAGCCAUUUGUUUGAAAUUAUGUUCAUCAGCAUGAAUUUUCUUGUCAUCCAUACCAUAGGCAUGUGUUAUGAGCUGGAAAAAGAUAAAAUGGCUGAUCAGAGCCAAUGACAGUAACACAGAGCUAAUUCAUGCUCAGAGCUGGGAAAGUAAUAUGAAAUUACUGUAUUGUGCAAAUUAGUGACAAAGCAAAAUAAUGCUUUGAAAGGAAGACACCAGAAUAUUGGUUUAAUUGACAGCUAUUACUUUAUAGCGUAUUAGGAAAUAAUACUGUGUAUGUUUUGUGGCAGUGAUGAAGUCUUAAUGCUCUAGGAGUUCAUUGGAGCAUCUCAGAGCACUGCCAAGAAGGGCAGAGUGCCUGCUCUGGUUUGCAGAAACAGCAGUGCUUUUGUGCUGAUUGUUGAGGGUAUUUUCCUGGAAAUGGAACUGGGAGAAGCGGCUCAAUAAUUUGGGAAGAGCAGAUUGCCUACGCUGGGAAGGAGUUGGUGGAGUCAGAACCAGUGGCGUCCAAGAAUUUGGAACUGUUUAGUUUUGCCAGUAAAACCUUCAUGGAGAUCUGGCUUUGCUACCUUGCCAAAGCCAUCUCAAGACCUGAGUGUGCAAGGAGACCUGUUUGUGCAGCAUUAAUUGUGGCAGACCUGGGGCUCCUGCCUGGACUGCAUGUCCUGCCUUUAUGGCCACAAGAAAUCUUAAAGACUUGUUAAUUGCGCACUCCUUUUGAUAAUAUCUGUGGUGCUUAACAGUUCAUUUCCAUAGAUUGCUUACAUGAGUCAUUUAUCCUGGACUGUAAGUAUCAAUAUGGGAAAAGUCAAGGUGGAAGGCUUUGUGGUACUGGAAAAGGAAAAAAGGAAAACCAGCAGCUGGAAGUGGAGCUCCCAGCAGCAGGAGCAGGGCCCUUCCUUUGUAUGUCUCCCUGGGGGUCUGGGCUUGGUUGUUUCUCUUUAAUAGUAGCUGCUGUCAUUUAACAUACAAAGGGAAAAGUAAAUGCCUUUCUUCUUCUUCAAAGUGACUCUAGCGUUUCAGCAUUCUGCUCACGUGGACACAGGCACUGGUGCUGCUCUGUGGAUUUCUCUGUGCUGCUGGCACUGUAACCAUGGGCCGAAUGCCUCUAGCUUUUGUACACAACAUAACUGUUCCUCGAAUGUCUUUGGACUAGCCUUUGGACUAAGCAGCACCCACCUGCAGCCUGCUGAGGAGCCAAGAGCAGGAGUCACAGAAGAAGCCGUUUCAAGAGGAAAAUAAAGAUGGGGGGAAAUGGAUGUGCCUAGAGACAAGAGAAAGAGAAGGUGAGGGGAUAGCCAGCUUGCAAGAACUCCUGUAAACCUUGCAGUAUUGAAACUCAGUGAACAAGGCAUCUUAGACAAGCUGAAAAACAAAUGGUGGUACGAUAAGGGUGAAUGUGGAGCCAAGGACUCCGGAAGUAAGGUCA